AAAAGACUCAAUAGACUCAAAUUAGAUUGUAAACUUUUAAAGCCUGAAAUUAUAACUGAAGCUGAAACACAUGUGCUUCAUGCCUGAAAACAAACAUCACUGGUUCGGCAAGCACACGUUUGUAUAGUAACCAAAAGUUUUUUUUUUUUUUUUUUUUAAAUGUUUAUGUUCUACAAAUUUUCAUUUUGGGGUGAACUGUCCCUUUAAGACCUUUAUCUGUCUAAGUUUUAAGUCAUUAUUCACUAAAGUAUAUUUUUAUGUUCCAGCUCCAUUCUCUGCUAUUGGAUUUUGUACAAGGACAAAGAUUAAGACACACAGGGGAGACAAUUUUGGAGAAGAAGAUUCCCUAAAGCAGGAUUCCACAGGAAGAUUGGAAAUGACAAGAAAUGAAAUGAAUUAAACUGAAGUACAGAGUUACAUGCAGAACAGGUUGAGAUUGAAUUAUCAAUUGCUAUUCCAAAUACUUUCCAGUUCAAACAUUAUUUAUAAAAUGCUAAACUAACAUUUCCAGUGGUCUCCAAUUGCAUCCGUCACGUGAUCUUGUCAACAAUGUUUUAUAUACUUAAAGAGAUAGUUCACCCAAAAAUUUAAUUAUAAAAUGAAAACAUCCAAAAAUAUCCUAAUUCGUGUUCCAAAGAUGGUCUUACGAGUUUGGACC
ensembl:lncRNA